AUUGAACGCUGGCGGCAUGCCUAACACACGCAAGUCGAACGAGGUUGGCUUCGGCCAGCCUAGUGGCGGACGGGUGGGUAAUGCGUGGGAAUCUGCCUCGUAGUGGGGGAUAACGUAGGGAAACUUACGCUAAUACCGCAUACGCUCUACGGAGGAAGGGGGGGGAUCUUUGGACCUCUCGCUAUGAGAUGACCCCACGUCUGAUUAGCUAGUUGGUGGGGUAAAGGCCUACCAAGGCGACGAUCAGUAGCCGGCCUGAGAGGGUGUACGGCCACACUGGGACUGAGACACGGCCCACACUCCUACGGGAGGCAGCAGUGGGGAAUAUUGGACAAUGGGCGAAAGCCUGAUCCAGCAAUGCCGCGUGUGUGAAGAAGGCCUGCGGGUUGUAAAGCACUUUGAGUGGGGAAGAAUGGGAUUGUGCUAAUACCGUGAUCCUUUGACGUUACCCACAGAAUAAGCACCGGCUAACUCCGUGCCAGCAGCCGCGGUAAUACGGAGGGUGCGAGCGUUAAUCGGAAUUACUGGGCGUAAAGCGCAUGUAGGCGGUUUGAUAAGUCG
rnacentral:rRNA from 1 species